UAUCUCUCCGUACGGGGAAGGAUGAGAAGCUUCGACUAAGGUUCGAUUCGAGCGCAGCGAGAAAGCGUUGCCGCAGGCAACGACCCGAAGGGCGAAGCGCGCAGCGCUGAGUCAUCCUUCCCCCACCACCA
rnacentral:sRNA from 259 species